GUGAGAGACAGGGAGGGAGAAAACGAGAGAAAGAGGGGGACAUGGAGAGAAAGAGAGAGACAGACAAGGUUACAAUCAAUCUUUGGACUUUCUCAUUAAGGAAAGGCAACCUGGCUGAAGACAACUGAACCAGACAGUGGCAAAGUUACGUUUACAUGUGGAGCGGGCUCUUGCUACAGGUCUCAAGAAAAUCGAGGUCGUUAGCGGAGGGCGAGGACACAGAAGCACAGUUGCUGGGGUCCUGUCGGGGUCUGUGAACGACAGCUGAGUUCUUGGACUCCCCAUGUGGCCUGGCACUUGGAUAUCUUCACGUGCAGCCUGGAAGACACGUGCCUUCGGUGUGUGGCGCCGUGAACGACCCAGUUCCUCAUCGAUUUCACCGACUGAAGCGUCACAGGAGACUGAAACAUCGAGACAGCAGGCGGUGUGCGUUGCCGUCGGAAGGAGGCCCCUACCCUCCAGCAGUCCUUUCUCCCUCCCUGUUUAACAGUGAGUGAGUGCCUGUCGGUCCUUGAGUUGGAUGGCUUGGAGAAGCAGCGCAAGAUUGUAACUUUGAAACGGCAAGCUGCUGGUCUCUGUUGUUGCAGGAGCAAACUCUCUUUCCCUCACUAGAGAGAGAGAGAGAGAGAGGGGCUGUCUGAGAUAUCGAAGUGUUUUGGUUGUGGACUGUAGUUUUUGAUGGGCCCUAGAUCAAGGUCUCUUCGGGGGCUUUGCUAUUGCUUGCAUGGGGGGGUGGGUU